GGCUAUCUGCAGUCAGCGAAGGAUUAGAGCUUGCUCUUAUGAAGUUAGCGGCGGACGGGUGAGUACACGUGGGUAACCUGCCCAUAAGACUGGGAUAACUCCGGGAAACCGGGGCUAAUACCGGAUAACAUUUUGCGCUGCAUGGCGCGAAAUUGAAAGGCGGCUUCGGCUGUCACUUAUGGAUGGACCCGCGUCGCAUUAGCUAGUUGGUGAGGUAACGGCUCACCAAGGCAACGAUGCGUAGCCGACCUGAGAGGGUGAUCGGCCACACUGGGACUGAGACACGGCCCAGACUCCUACGGGAGGCAGCAGUAGGGAAUCUUCCGCAAUGGACGAAAGUCUGACGGAGCAACGCCGCGUGAGUGAUGAAGGCUUUCGGGUCGUAAAACUCUGUUGUUAUGGAAGAACAAGUGCUAGAUGAAUAAGCUGGCACAUUGACGGUACCUAACCAUAAAGCCACUGCUAACUACGUGCCAGCACCCUCGGUAAUACGUAGGUGGCAAGCGUCUAUCCGGAAUUAUUGGGCGCACAGCGCGCACAUGUGAUUUCUAUAAAUCAGAUGUGAAAUCCAACCAACCAACCAUCUAUUACCAUUUGGAAUUGAGAAGACAUUCUUGCCUAAAACGAUAUUCUAACAUUUUGAAUAUCCCCAACUCCCACCAAAAACUUUCCAAUAUACCCCCCUCCCUUAGACAUUUCCAGCACUUAAGCCCCGUCUAAUUUUUUCUUUAUCCGGGCAAAUAACUUCAUCAAU
rnacentral:rRNA from 1 species